rnacentral:rRNA from 1 species
GUGCCAGCAGCCGCGGUAAUACAGAGGGUGCAAGCGUUAAUCGGAAUUACUGGGCGUAAAGCGCAUGUAGGUGGGACAAUAAGUUUGAUGUGAAAGCCCUGGGCUUAACCUGGGAAUGGCGUUGAAGACUGUUGUUCUAGAGUUUGACAGAGGGUCGUGGAAUUUCCGGUGUAGCGGUGAAAUGCGUAGAGAUCGGAAAGAACACCAGUGGCGAAGGCGGCGACCUGGGUCUAAACUGACACUGAGGUGCGAAAGCGUGGGGAGCAAACAGGAUUAGAUACCCUAGUAGUCC